AUUUGGCUCUGGACACUUGAGCAACUGAGUGUCUGACAUAUGCACAGAGCCCACAAGCUGCCAUGAGCUAUUUCUACAUGUAACUAGGUGACUACGCCUUGCAGCUUCCCCUACGUUAUAGGCUUUUUAACUUCAUUAUGUGAUCAGGCAUGUUGCCAACUUUGAAGGCCA